rnacentral:lncRNA from 1 species
AGAAAACCCAGCUCUUCUUUACAAACAGGCCGUCCCUCGCAAUGUGGGAAUGUCAGGGCCUCUCGGUGAAGUGAGCAAGAGAGAAGAGAAACAAGAUGCAGCUGAGGUGGGGACGCUGUGUUUUCUCCGAUAUUACUAAGCAACCGUGUCCUAAAAUCUCCGGAGCCAGCGACAGAACUUUGUUUACCAGGAAGAAAGCACUUGAAAAGGAGAAUAUUUGGCGGAAAUGCGCUUUGGGAUUAGCAGAGAGCUGGGAGUGGGGAGGAACGCUGACUGCACCUCGUGAGGACUGUGUGCAUACAGCCACAAGGAGGGGAGAGGAAUGGAAUCUCAAACUCGUUUCCAGCUCCGUCAAGUCCCCAGUCCAUUUCCUGCCAUCGCUAGGACUUCUCACUUUCUUUACGCCCCACCCUAACCUCUGCUUGUCGUUCAGUUGCUUAGUCAGCCCCAUGGACUGCGGCACAACAGGCUUCCCCAUCCUUCACUAUCUCCCGGAGUUUGGUCAGACUCAAGUCCGUUGGGUCGGUGAUGCCAUUCAACCAUCUCAUGCUCUGUCGGCCCCUUCUCCUCCUGCCCUCUGCAUGAAGGGCUAAAGUGAAUGGUGCAGAAAGUCCAGCAUGGGAGGGGACCAAGUGAUGCAGAAGAGGGGUCGCCCGUCCGCAGUGGAUAAACAGGCCCCUGAAUUGUGACCCCUAGCUGAAUGCUUCUGAAUAAAAGUUUCAGGACCACUUGAUCGGCUAAUGUG